UUUGCCUGCUGACUAUGACACAACGUCCCAAUUUUUUUUGCCACAUGACCUUAAUCAACAUCAUCAAAAGCUUAGUCAAGAUCAAAAAAUAGUGAAUAAUUACGAAACAAAAAGCAAAGUUAAACUCUAAUUUAUUGGGCAAUAAAACUUUAAUUUCCUUAGUCGCACUGAACAGUUGCCGCCUUUCAGUUUCAGAUGAAAGAAAUUACAAAUUAGGAAUUCCAGAGCGGAAAUUUUGCUUCCUUGCGCGGUCAGUCACUAGACUUUAGAUAAUAAAUAAAAAGGAUUUGAUUUUUUUUUCAUCAAACGUGAAGUACCAAUUUACGUACGAGUUAUCCGUCCAAAACCAAAAAUAAAUUACAAAUAUAUACUUUUAUUUUUAUUUUUAAACAUCUUUCUGAUUUGAUAGUUUUCGGUAAAAGUUAGACUUUUUAUGGUUAAAUGUGGGAGCCAGUGACUUAAAUUAACUCUUGUCUUCAAAUAACACUCUGCUCAUUACGUUUCCAACCUCAAGAAUGUUACAAUUUUCGGGCCAAAUAAAAGAUCUUUGCUAACGAAUUGUUUUUAAAUUAGAUUACCCAACUGCGAAUAAACUCACUUGCUUUCUUUUCUUUUUGUUUUCAUUUGAGAUUUGUCUUGGAAAGUAAUCCUUAAAAAAUGAGCCUUUCAAUUUUUUACAUCAUGUUAAUACAAUUAGCACUGUCAACUUCAAAUGGUGCGCUGAUGAAACGGUCGGAGGAAACAGAAGAGGCUGAACAGAUCCAGUACCCUUUGGUUGAUAUCACCUGUCGCGACUACUACCCUCAAGCCAGCUGUAUCUACCGCUUGCAUCAGUGUUGGGAGGGAUACGCAAUUACUGUCAACUGUCGCAGAACGUGCGGCGUGUGUGUUCUGCCAACUACCAUAUAUACUAAACAAUCAUCGUUCAAUAAUCUAAUUGAAUAAUAAUUAAUUAACUACUUUGAGUUUUUAA